rnacentral:rRNA from 1 species
CCUACGGGAGGCAGCAGUGGGGAAUUUUGGACAAUGGGCGCAAGCCUGAUCCAGCAAUGCCGCGUGAGUGAAGAAGGCCUUCGGGUUGUAAAGCUCUUUUGUCAGGGAAGAAACGGUCUACUCUAAUACAGUGGGCUAAUGACGGUACCUGAAGAAUAAGCACCGGCUAACUACGUGCCAGCAGCCGCGGUAAUACGUAGGGUGCAAGCGUUAAUCGGAAUUACUGGGCGUAAAGCGUGCGCAGGCGGUUAUAUAAGUCAGAUGUGAAAUCCCCGGGCUCAACCUGGGAACUGCAUUUGAGACUGUAUGGCUAGAGUGUGUCAGAGGGGGGUAGAAUUCCACGUGUAGCAGUGAAAUGCGUAGAUAUGUGGAGGAAUACCGAUGGCGAAGGCAGCCCCCUGGGAUAACACUGACGCUCAUGCACGAAAGCGUGGGGAGCAAACAGGAUUAGAUACCCUGGUAGUCCACGCCCUAAACGAUGUCUACUAGUUGUCGGGACUUAAUUGUCUUGGUAACGCAGCUAACGCGUGAAGUAGACCGCCUGGGGAGUACGGUCGCAAGAUUAAAACUCAAAAUGAAAUUGACCGGNNGAGAGAGACGACGGACGACACGAGGGAGGAG